GUACUGCUGAGGAGUCCCAUACCAGGACGAAAUCAACAUCCAGUAC
rnacentral:hammerhead_ribozyme from 1 species